AUAUGAAGUUACAUCAUAAUUUAAUAGAACUUGUUACUUGUAAGCUGUCCAUCACAGUGAAAGCAAGUGUGAUGUUUUAUAAGCCAGCGACAUGAGAUAACAUCAGCAUUCAUAUAAAUAUGUGCAGGUGAAGUAAUGGUAGAUAUUGUCCUGGUUAAAGGUGUGUGCAGACACAGCUUGAAUGCAAGUGUCUCUCUGCUUUUGUCCUCCUGAAACAGCCAACAACACUGACUGUUGCAGUGCUGUUUCACACAUGCUCUGUGACAUUUUUCUGCUGCUACAUUUUACGCUGUGACUGUGAACAGGUUUGUAGAAAAAGUAUUAUUAAGAGAAACCAUUCUCAUCAUAAAACAGUCAGGGGACACUCAUUAAUCAAUCCAAAGAGACUUUAUUUAUGAUAUUUUUGAAAAGUGCAAUGAUAAGAUCAGUGUUGAGAUUGUAGACAUCACAAUAUUGUUAAUAUUAGUCCCCUGAUCACACGCUUGGAUGAUACACAUACAAACAACAUCUCAGGGAGGAAAACAUCAAACAUGUCUGAUCUGAACCCCCCCCCCCCCCUAAAACUACAAUAAAUAAGAAUUCAAAUAUGCUUUACAACCUGGUUACUUAAUAAUUUCAAAACUUCACAUGUACUUUGGUUUAUUACUUCAUUUUCAGGAUGUGAACUUAAAAAUGUUACAAAUAUGAGCUGAGUACAUGUGACAUCAGAACCAGAACUAAUGUAAGGAAGCUGAUGUUGUUCACCAUGGCAGAGGAAGUGGUUCUUGCAGUAGUUCUGGUUGUUGUUGGGGUUGUUGUUGGGGUGGUUGCUGAGGUUGUUCUGGUGGUUGUACUUGUUGUUGGGGUAGUUGAAGUUGUUGUUGGGGUGGUUGCUGAGGUUGUUGUAGUGGUUGUACUUGUUGUUGGGGCAGUUGAGGUUGUUGUUGGGGUCGUUGCUGAUGUCGUUGUAGUGGUUGUAGUUGUUGGGGUAGUUGUGCUUGUUGUUGGGGUAGUUGCUGAGGUUUUUGUAGUGGUUGUACUUGUGGUUGGGAUACUUGAGGUUGUUGUAGGGGUAGUUGUUGAUGUUGUUGUAGUUGCUGUGGUUGUGGUUGUUGUUGGGGUAGUUGCUGAUGUCGUUGUAGUGGUUGUAGUUGUUGGGGUAGUUGUGCUUGUUCUUUGGGUAGUUGCUGAUGUUUUUGUAGUGGUUGUACUUGUUGUUGUAGGGGUAGUUGUUGAUGUUGUUGUAGUUGCUGUGGUUGUGGUUGUUGUUGGGGUAGUUGCUGAUGUCGUUGUAGUGGUUGUAGUUGUUGUUGGGGUAGUUGUGCUUGUUCUUUGGGUAGUUGCUGAUGUUUUUGUAGUGGUUGUACUUGUUGUUGGGGUAGUUGAGGUUGUUGUAGGGGUAGUUAUAGAUGUUGUUGUACUGGCUGUGGUUGUUGUUGGGGUAGUUGAGGUUGCUGUUGGAGCAGCUGUGGUUGUUGUUGGGGCAGCUGUUGUAGUUGUGGUUGAGGUUGUUGUCACCACAGCUGUAGUUGUUGUAGUUGGGGCUGCAAUUGUAGAUGUUGUUGGGGCAGCUGUUGUGGUCCUUGUAGGGGCAGCAGUCGUGGUUGUUGGGGCUGCUGUUGUGGUUGUUGUUGGGGCACCUGUUGUGGUUGUAGUUGGUGCGGCUGUUGUGCUUGUUAAAGCAGCUGUGCUCGUGGCUGCAGUUGUGGUUGUUAAUGGGGAUGCUGUAGUUGUCGUUGUUGGGGCAGUUGUUGUGGUUGUUGUUGGGGCUGCAGUUGUAGUUGUUGGCACAGCUGUUGUGGUUGUAGUUUGGAAAGUUGUCGUGGUUGUUGUUGGUGUAGCUGUAGUAGUUGUUUUUGGGACUGAAGUUGUUGUGGUUGUUGUUUGGGCACCUGUAGUUGUUGAUGUGGGGGUGGUUGUUGUGGUUGUUGUUGGUGCUGCAGAUAUGGUUGUUGUUGGAGCAGGUGUAGUUGUUGUUGUUGGGCUAGCUGUUGUGGUUGUGGUUGUUUGAGAAGCUGUGGUUGUCACUGUAGUUGUAAUUGUUGUUGGUGAAACAGUUGUGGUUGUUGUGGUUGUUGUUGGUGAAGCUGUACUAGUUGUUGUUGGUACAGCAGUUGUUGUGGUUGUUGUUGGGGCAGCAGUAGUUGUUGUUGUUGGGGCAUCUGUUGUGGUUGUUGUUGGGCCUGGUGUUGUAGUUGUUGGUGCAGCAGUUGUGGUUGUUGUUUGGGCAGCUGUAGUUGUUGGCGCAGCAGUUGUGGUUGUUGAGGUUGUUGUUGGUGCAGCUGUAGUAGUUGUUGUUGGGACUGCAGUUGUUGUGGUUGUUGAUGGGGCAGCUGUAGUUGUUGUUGUUGUGGUUGGUGGCGCAGCUGUAGUUGUUGUUGUUGGGGCAGCUGUAGUUGUUGUUGUUGGUGCACCUGUAGUAGUUGUUGUUGUGAAUGUAGUUGUUGUGCUUGUUGUUGGGGCAGCAGUUGUAGUUGUUGGCACAUCAGUUAUGGAUGUUGUUUGGGCUACUGUAGCAGCAGUUGUUGGGGCAGCUGUUGUGGUUGGGGCAGCUGUAGUUGUUUUUGGGGUGGCUGUUGUGGUUGUUGUUGGGCCUGGCGUUGUAGUUGUUGGCGCAGCAGUUGUGGUUGUUGUUGGGGCAGCUGUAGUUGUUGUUGUUG
ensembl:lncRNA